rnacentral:rRNA from 1 species
AAAAUAGGGCGUUAAAAGAUGUAGGUAUAUUUUCUAUAGGCAAAUCCGUAGAGAAUGCUGAAGUCCAACAGUACCAGGAGGCUCCGGCCGAAUGGAUAGAGAAUGUAAGCAGACUUCCGAGAAAAUCUUCUAAGCAUAUUGAUACGGUACCCGUACCGCAAACCGACACAGGUAGUCAAGGAGAGAAUCCUGAGGUGCUCGAGUGAGUCAUGGCUAAGGAACUAGGCAAAUUAAACCUGUAACUUCGGGAAAAGGGUUGCCUCUCUUUAGCAAUAAAGAAGGUCGCAGAGAAAUGGCCCAGGCGACUGUUUAACAAAAACACAUGGCUAUGCGAAAUCGUAAGAUGAAGUAUAUGGCCUGACACCUGCCCGGUGCUGGAAGGUUAAGGGGGGAAGUUAGUCGCAAGGCGAAGCUUUGAACUGAAGCCCCAGUAAACGGCGGCCGUAACUAUAACGGUCCUAAGGUAGCGAAAUUCCUUGUCGGGUAAGUUCCGACCUGCACGAAUGGUGUAACGAUCUGGGCACUGUCUCAGCCAUGAGCUCGGUGAAACUGUAGUCACGGUGAAGAUGCCGUGUACCCGUCACGGGACGGAAAGACCCCAUGCACCUUUACUAUAGCUUCGCAUUGACAUUGGGUAGAUGAUGUGUAUGAUAGGUGGGAGGCGUUGAUCCUGUGCCGCUAGGUAUAGGGGAGCCAACGGUGAAAUGCCACCCUUUAUUUAUCUGAUGUCUAAUCCGCAAGACCUGCGGAGACAGUGCGUGGUGGGUAGUUUGACUGGGGUGGUCGCCUCCGAAAGUGUAUCGGAGGCUUUCAAAGGUAUGCUCAAUACGCUUGGUAACCGUAUGUGGAGUGCAAUAGCAUAAGCAUGCUUGACUGUGAGACUGACAAGUCGAGCAGGGUCGAAAGACGGAUAUAGUGAUCCGGUGGUUCUGUAUGGAAGGGCCAUCGCUCAAAGGAUAAAAGGUACGCUGGGAUAACAGGCUGAUCUCCCCCAAGAGCUCACAUCGACGGGGAGGUUUGGCACCUCGAUGUCGGCUCGUUACAUCCUGGGGCUGGAGAAGGUCCCAAGGGUUAGGCUGUUCGCCUAUUAAAGUGGCACGCGAGCUGGGUUCAGAACGUCGUGAGACAGUUCGGUCCCUAUCUGUGAUGGGCGUAGGAAGUUUGAGAGGAUCUGACCUUAGUACGAGAGGACCGGGUUGGACCAACCGCUGGUGUACCGGUUGUGGCGUCAGCUGCAUCGCCGGGUAGCUACGUUGGGACGAGAUAAGCGCUGAAAGCAUCUAAGCGCGAAACUCACCUCAAGAUGAGACUUCCAUUAAGGGACGUCAGAGACUAUGACGUUGAUAGGCUGCAGGUGUAAAGGCAGAAAUGUCAAAGCUGAGCAGUACUAAUUACCCU